AAAACUCUGCAUAUUGGGGUUAAAAUUAGUUUUUCAUGUAUGGAAAGAAAUAUUUUGAUAAUAAUGGACUGAAAAGGUUAAAUAUAAUUUCAUAAAAAGUGUGUAUGCGUUUACCUUUUGUAUCAGGAUUUUACUAUAAAGAAUAAAAUUAUAUUUAUCCCGAAAAAUAAAGAGCUAAUAAAAUUUAAUUUUACGUUGUAGUGUAAUAUAUAAAUUUUUAUUGGGAGUGAAAUGCUAUUCGAUUUAUUUGAUAUCUGGUUCAAAAUUUAUUUAAUUUUAGAUUAGGUAAGAAAUUUUUAAUGGUUUAGCAUUAGAAAUUUUUAUAAAGUGAGAUAAUUUUAUUUGAUGUUGGUUUAAUAGUAAUAAGGUAUGUAAUAAUAAAAAUUGUUGAAAAAUUUCUUUUAAAAAAGGUUUUGAUAUUAAUUAAUAAAAUUGAAUAUAAUGUAAUAAUAAGUAGAAAACUAUAUAAAAAUAAAAAUUUAAAGUUUUAUAGAAAUUGUUUACUGAAAAUAAUACUUGAGAAUUCGGCAAAUUUUUUAUUCACCUGUUUACCAAAAACAUGGCUUUUUGGUAAUGAAAAAAAGUCUGGCCUGCUCACUGAUGAGUUUAAGAGCCGCGGUAUUUUGACUGUGCGAAGGUAGCAUAAUCAUUAGUCUUUUAAUUGAGGACUGGAAUGAAAGGUUUGAUGAAUAAAAACUAUUUAGUGUUAAAUUUUGAAAUUAGAUUUAUUGUAAAAAUACAAUAUAGAAAGUAUGGGACGAUAAGACCCUAUCGAGCUUUAUUAAAUUAAUUUGAUGAUGAAAUUUAUUUUCUCUUAUUAAGUAAGGUUUAAUUUUGCUGGGGUGGUAAAUAAAAAAUCUUUGUUUAUUUUUAAAAACUAACAAGUUAGGAAAUUUGAUCUAUUUUUGUAAAUUUGGAAAAGCUACCGUAGGGAUAACAGUGUAAUUUAUUUGAAAAGACCAUAUUGAUAAAUAAGAUUACUACCUCGAUGUUGAAUUAAAAUAACUUUAAGGUGCAAGAGCUUUAAAAGUGAGUCUGUUCGACUUUUAAAAUUUUACAUGAUUUGAGUUCAAAUCGGUGUAAGCCAGGUUGGAUUCUAUCUAUAUUUAAAGAAAGAUUAGUUUUAGUACGAAAGGGCCAAACUAAUAAAAUUGUUUUUGAUAAAAAAAC
rnacentral:rRNA from 1 species